rnacentral:rRNA from 1 species
CAAUAGCGUAUAUUUAAGUUGUUGCAGUUAAAAAGCUCGUAGUCGGAUUUUGGCUGAGAACGACCGGUCCGCCGUUAGGUGUGCACUGAUUGGUCUCAGCUUCCUGGUGAGGAGGUGUGCUUCACGGCCACUUAGUCACCGUGGUUACUUUGAAAAAAUUAGAGUGUUCAAAGCGGGCUUACGCUUGAAUAUAUUAGCAUGGAAUAACACCAUAGGACUCCUGUCCUAUUUCGUUGGUCUCGGGACGGGAGUAAUGAUUAAGAGGAACAGUUGGGGGCAUUCGUAUUUCAUUGUCAGAGGUGAAAUUCUUGGAUUUAUGAAAGACGAACUUCUGCGAAAGCAUUUGCCAAGGAUGUUUUCAUUGA